UAAGUUUUAUAUUCAAAUAUGAUUUAAAAUUGCAAAUUUUAAGGUAUAAUAAAAUUAUUAAAACUU
rnacentral:tRNA from 1 species